rnacentral:pre_miRNA from 1 species
UAUAAGGGAUUUUGAGUUUUUGCUUGCAAUGUUUGAUCACUCGUCUUAUUCAAAUUUUUUUGAAAUUAUUAAUUAUUUUAUUUGUGACUUACUUUAUUAUCUACAGUACUUUAAGCACAACUUUUCAUUUUUUACAUUUAAAAAAAAAAUUUGAAUAAGACGAGUGGUCAAACAUUGCAAGCAAAAACUAAAAAUCCCUUAUA